rnacentral:rRNA from 1 species
CCUACGGGUGGCAGCAGUGAGGAAUAUUGGUCAAUGGGCGUAAGCCUGAACCAGCCAAGCCGCGUGAAGGAAGAAGGCUCCAUGCGUCGUAAACUUCUUUUGUCAGGGAACAAAGUGCGCCACGUGUGCCGUUUUGUGUGUACCCUAUGAAUAAGCAUCGGCUAACUCCGUGCCAGCAGCCGCGGUAAUACGGAGGAUUCGAGCGUUAUCCGGAUUUAUUGGGUUUAAAGGGUGCGUGGGCGGGCCCUUAAGUCAGCGGUGAAAGCCCGGGGCUCAACCCCGGCAGAGCCGUUGAAACUGGCGGACUAGAGAAGGCGAGAGGUAGGCGGAAUGCGUGGUGUAGCGGUGAAAUGCAUAGAUAUCGCGCAGAACCCCGAUUGCGAAGGCAGCGUACCGGGGCAGGACUGACGCUGAGGCACGAAAGCGUGGGGAUCGAACAGGAUUAGAUACCCGAGUAGUC